UGGUUCGAGUCUUGUGGUGUGGAUAUAUUAUAAUAACAAAAUUAACCUGGAUAGGAUUGAAUCUAGAGUGGUUAAUCUCGUAAAGCGGCAUGACUCGAUGUAGGGCUAGUUGCCUUGGUGGUUGAGGAUGAAGAAGGAGAAGGAGAAGGAAAGGAGAAAAAGAAUAAAAACAAGGAGGAGAAUACACCAGAUUGGUCGCAGGUCUUGACCCUCAAGAAAACAACCGAAGAAAAGAUUACAAAAGAGGGAGUUAUUGGCAUUGGAGCUGUUGGAGUUUUGCUUGGGGUAGCUUUUGCAUCUGCUUUCUUCUGCGAGGAUUAAUUUGCAUUGGAACCAUUUUCUUGUUGCUCUUAUUUCUUAUCCUUUAAAGUCAUUACGUAACUUUAAUGAUUUUAGAUCAUUAUGAUCUCUUCCCCGGACCCCGCGCACAGCAAAAGCUUAGUGCACCGAGUUUUUCUUUCCUAUUUCUUAUCCUUUAAAUUCAUUACGUAACUUUAAUGAUAUUAGUCAUCCAA